rnacentral:rRNA from 1 species
AUUGAACGCUGGCGGCAGGCCUAACACAUGCAAGUCGAGCGAGCGGCGGACGGGUGAGUACUGUCUGGGUAACUGCCCGAUGGAGGGGGAUAACUACUGGAAACGGUAGCUAAUACCGCAUACUAUCAGAUGUGCCCCGCUGGGAUUAGCUAGUCGGUGGGGUAACGGGUCACCUUGGCGACGCUCCCUAGCUGGUCUGAGGGGAUGGUCAGCCAGACGGGAACUGAGACACGGUCCAGACUCCUACGGGAGGCAGCAGUGGGGAAUAUUGCACAAUGGGCGCAAGCCUGAUGCAGCCAUGCCGCGUGUGUGAAGAAGGCCUUCGGGUUGUAAAGCACUUUCAGCGGGGAGGCGUUACCCGGAGAAGAAGCACCGGCUAACUCCGUGCCAGCAGCCGCGGUAAUAC